AUGCAUGGUAUAAUAGAGUUGAUGUAUCAAGGAUGCAUCGUGACCAUCGCCGAUGUGAGGAUGGUUGGCUUUUCGACAUCCACCACUUGUGCUCUCCUCCUCCUGCUCAUCUUCUUCUUCUACCUUCCUACUGUUGCCAUCUCCUUGUCCUUCAACUACUCCACAUUCAGCUCAGCGGACCAGAACGCCAUCAAAAUCGAAGGCGACGCAUCCUUCAGCGUCGGAUGGGUCGACAUCAGCGCCAACAGGUACGGCAGCAUCGACUACAGCAAUGGCCGGGCAUCGUACAAUGCCCAGCCGAUGCUGCUAUGGGACAGGGCGACCGGCGAGGUUGCCAGCUUCACCACGCGCUUCUCGUUCGUCAUCUCCGGCAACAUCAGCAGCAAGGGGCAAGGCAUGGCCUUCUUUCUCGCCGGCUACCCGUCCAGCCUGCCAGCCCGCUGCCCUGACUACAACCUCGCCCUCACCAACCAGAGCGCGGAUGCCGUGGCGGCCGGCGACAGCCGGUUCGUGGCGGUGGAGUUCGACACCUUCAACAAUACGGUGGUGUCUGACCCCCACGAUACCUUCGACCACAUCGGCAUCGACAUCAGCUCCCUCCGGUCGGUGCGCACACUGACUAUGCCAAGCUUCGAGCUGACGGGCAACCUGACUGCCGACAUCAACUACGACAAUGUUUCCAGCAUCUUGUCAGUGACGGUGUGGCUUGGUGAUGAUGAUGAAGGCAAGCCAAGAAACCGGAGUUACAACCUUCGCUCCAAGGUUGACCUCAAAAGCGCACUGCCGGAGCAGGUCUCGGUUGGCUUCUCCGCAUCCACAUCCAACGCCAUCGAACUGCAUCAGCUACACUCUUGGUCCUUCAGAUCUUCGUUGGAACCGCCGCCGCCGCCGCCAGCAGCAGCAAUAUCUUCCCCGUCAAGGCUGGGUCCGGGAGUUAUAGCCGGGGCAGUUGCUGGUGCAUCAGUGUCCCUCGUGCUCAUCUUUGCCGCUACAGUGGCACUCGUUGUGCGUCGCCACCAUCAACAAAAAAUGGUGGAGACGGAUGAGUACCACACAGACUCGGAAGGCGAAGGUGACCCGAUGAUGGAGAUCGACAUGGUGAAAGGGCCAAGGCGGUUCCCAUACCACGAGCUCGUGGAAGCGACGAGGAACUUUGCCGCGGAGGAGAAGCUUGGGCAAGGUGGCUUUGGUGCGGUUUACCGAGGCUACCUGAGAGAGCCAGCUGGGCUUCCCGUGGCCAUUAAGAGGUUCUCCAAGCAUGAUUCUUCCCUGCAAGGAAAGAGGGAGUACAAGUCAGAGAUCAAGGUGAUAAGCAGGCUGCGCCACCGGAACCUCGUGCAGCUCCUCGGCUGGAGCCAUGGCCGCGAGGAACUCCUGCUGGUUUACGAGCUCAUGCCCAACCGCAGCCUCGACAUCCAUCUCCAUGGCAAGCAGGGCACCUUCCUCACAUGGCCGAUGAGGAUGAAGAUAGUGAUGGAGCUCGGGUCCGCGCUGCUCUACCUCCACGAGGAGUGGGAGCAGUGCGUGCUGCACCGGGACAUCAAGCCCAGCAACAUGAUGCUAGACGAGUCAUUUGGAGCUAAGCUGGGCGACUUCGGGCUCGCAAGGCUUGUCGACCAUGCCGCCGGGACGCAGACUAUGACCGCAGUCUCAGGGACUCCGGGCUACUUGGACCCCCAGUGUGUCGUCACCGGCAGGGCCAGCGCCGAGUCAGACGUGUACAGCUUCGGCGUGGUUCUGCUGGAGGUGGUGUGCGGCAGGAAGCCGAUGAGCUUCACUGUGACCGAUCAGGACCAGCAACAAAAGAACGGUGGCGUGUUCCGGUUGGUUGAGUGGGUUUGGGGGCUGUACGGCCGGGGAGCCAUUCUUGAGUCUGCCGACAAGCUGCUGAAUGGUGAGUUAGACGUAGCAGAGGUGGAGAGGGUGCUGGUCGUCGGGCUGUGGUGUGCACACCCGGACCCGAGCGCGCGGCCGACCAUCAGAGAAGCCAUGGCCAAGCUCCACUCCAAGGUCGACAAGCUGCCGGUGCUCCCCUCCAAGAUGCCGGUGCCGACAUAUGCUCAGCCACCGUUCGCCUUGGACAUGGACGACGGGCUGUCAACGUUGCUGCCAUCGUCCACCAGCACCAGCGUCCCACCGCACACCAUUUGUACGACAACCAGUUCUUCGGACGGACGUGGUAGCACCUCGACGACCAGUUAA
rnacentral:rRNA from 1 species